AAGUCGUAACAAGGUUUCCGUAGGUGAACCUGCGGAAGGAUCAUUAACACGUAUCCAACGUUAAACCCCCCGUGAACCUUCAGUGCGCUCGCACUUUCUUAGAAAAGGUAGCAAUCCCUGGUAAAUCAUUGCCGAACAGUUUUGAUUCAGGGACUUCUGCGUAGACUGUGCUUGAGCGUGAGGCAAGUGGCCUGGCAUUCCUCUGCUUGUUGGUGUCUGAAAGUGUCACCAGCUCUGUACGAAUGGCGCAGUCACGAUCGCUAGAGGGCGCGAGCCCCCCUCGUCACCUUUGCAUGAAAACGGGCCUGCGCUUAAUUGUGCGGCCACCAAACUCGAACAACUGUUAACAAUGGAUAUCUUGGUUCUC
rnacentral:misc_RNA from 1 species